rnacentral:rRNA from 1 species
UCGGAUUAUUGGGCGUAAGCGUCCGCAGGCGGUUUUACUAGUCUGUCGUUAAAGCGCGGGAGCUCACCUCUCAUUUCUGCGAUGGAAACUGUAAGACUCUGAGUGUGGUAGGGGCAGAGGGAAUUCCCGGUGUAGCGGUGAAAUGCGUAUGAUAUCGGGAAGAACACCAGUGGCGAAAGCGCUCUGCUGGGCCAUAACUGACGCUCAUGGACGAAAGCCAGGGGAGCGAAAGGGAUUAGAUACCCCUGUAGUCCUGGCCGUAAACGAUGAACACUAGGUGUCGGGGGAAUCGACCCCCUCGGUGUCGUAGCCAACGCGUUAAGUGUUCCGCCUGGGGAGUACGCACGCGAGUGUGAAACUCAAAGGAAUUGGCGGGGGAGCACAAA